rnacentral:rRNA from 1 species
GACGAACGCUGGCGGCGUGCCUAAUACAUGCAAGUUGAGCGCUGAAGGUUGGUACUUGUACCAACUGGAUGAGCAGCGAACGGGUGAGUAACGCGUGGGGAAUCUGCCUUUGAGCGGGGGACAACAUUUGGAAACGAAUGCUAAUACCGCAUAAAAACUUUAAACACAAGUUUUAAGUUUGAAAGAUGCAAUUGCAUCACUCAAAGAUGAUCCCGCGUUGUAUUAGCUAGUUGGUGAGGUAAAGGCUCACCAAGGCGAUGAUACAUAGCCGACCUGAGAGGGUGAUCGGCCACAUUGGGACUGAGACACGGCCCAAACUCCUACGGGAGGCAGCAGUAGGGAAGCUUCGGCAAUGGACGAAAGUCUGACCGAGCAACGCCGCGUGAGUGAAGAAGGUUGUCGGAUCGUAAAACUCUGUUGGUAGAGAAGAACGUUGGUGAGAGUGGAAAGCUCAUCAAGUGACGGUAACUACCCAGAAAGGGACGGCUAACUACGUG